rnacentral:tRNA from 1 species
AUCUCUUGAGUAUGAUAUGUACGGCCGCCUUCCAAGCGAAAAGAUUAGGUAUAACUUAAAGGAGAUA